rnacentral:ncRNA from 1 species
UUGUCACAAUAUAAAUAAUUAUGAUUUCAAUUACAAAUAAUACUUGGUGGUGGAAAAACUUACGUCAGUCGUCGUGAGCGAAUCCUCCUAUAGUAUAAUUUAAAAACAUACAUAGAAAAGGCUUGUC